UUUAUUGGAGAGUUUGAUCCUGGCUCAGGAUGAACGCUGGCGGCGUGCCUAAUACAUGCAAGUUGAGCGAAUGGAUUAAGAGCUUGCUCUUAUGAAGUUAGCGGCGGACGGGUGAGUAACACGUGGGUAACCUGCCCAUAAGACUGGGAUAACUCCGGGAAACCGGGGCUAAUACCGGAUAACAUUUUGAACCGCAUGGUUCGAAAUUGAAAGGCGGCUUCGGCUGUCACUUAUGGAUGGACCCGCGUCGCAUUAGCUAGUUGGUGAGGUAACGGCUCACCAAGGCA
rnacentral:rRNA from 1 species